rnacentral:rRNA from 1 species
UACAGAGGUCUCAAGCGUUGUUCGGAUUCAUUGGGCGUAAAGGGUGUGUAGGUGGCGCGCUAAGUCGGGUGUGAAAUUUCGGAGCUUAACUCCGAAACUGCAUUCGAUACUGGCGUGCUUGAGGACUGGAGAGGAGACUGGAAUUCAUGGUGUAGCAGUGAAAUGCGUAGAGAUCAUGAGGAAGACCAGUGGCGAAGGCGGGCUCUGGGACCGUAGUU